rnacentral:rRNA from 1 species
AUGUCACCGUACCUAUUUAUCCUCAUCGCCGACAUUCUUCAGCGUCUUAUUUUGCACGCUUCGGCUUCGGGGCUCCUUCACCACCCUCUGGAUAGCUCUCUCCCGUGCCCAGUCCUUCAGUACACCGACGAUACGCUAAUUAUCCUUCAGACUAGCUUGGAGCAAUUAACUCAUCUCAAAUCAAUUUUACUAGAAUUCUCGGCAGCCAUCGGGCUACAGAUAAAUUUUCACAAGAGCACCUUUGCCCCUAUUCAUGUUGAUGAUGCUCUCGCCUCCUCUAUGGCUGCGGUGCUGGGAUGCCCUGUGGCAUCCUUCCCUCAAAGCUACCUGGGUCUCCCUCUAUCCACUCACAAGCUCAACCUAUCGGCUUUUUUCUUCAUCAUAGACAAAGUGGAUCGGAGACUCGCUGGUUGGAGGGGCCUGCUGCUUUCCUUAGCCGGCAGGGCCAUCCUAGUGCGGGCGGUCCUUCGUGCCCUCCCACUCUAUGCGAUGUCUGCUCUUCUGCUUCCUUUAGGUACAAUCCAGGCCAUCGAUAGUCGCUGUCGAGCUUUCUUCUGGGCAGGUCAGGAUACGAUUUCUGGGGGUCAGUGUAAAGUUGCGUGGGAUGCGGUUUGUGCUCCCUUCUCUCGUGGGGGCCUUGGGUUUCUAUCGUUGCACCAGUUCAACCAGUGUCUUCUCCUCAAAUAA